GAGUUUGAUCCUGGCUCAGAACGAACGCUGGCGGCAGGCUUAACACAUGCAAGUCGAGCGCCCCGCAAGGGGAGCGGCAGACGGGUGAGUAACGCGUGGGAACGUACCUUUUGCUACGGAAUAACUCAGGGAAACUUGUGCUAAUACCGUAUGUGCCCUUCGGGGGAAAGAUUUAUCGGCAAAGGAUCGGCCCGCGUUGGAUUAGCUAGUUGGUGAGGUAAAGGCUCACCAAGGCGACGAUCCAUAGCUGGUCUGAGAGGAUGAUCAGCCACACUGGGACUGAGACACGGCCCAGACUCCUACGGGAGGCAGCAGUGGGGAAUAUUGGACAAUGGGCGCAAGCCUGAUCCAGCCAUGCCGCGUGAGUGAUGAAGGCCCUAGGGUUGUAAAGCUCUUUCACCGGUGAAGAUAAUGACGGUAACCGGAGAAGAAGCCCCGGCUAACUUCGUGCCAGCAGCCGCGGUAAUACGAAGGGGGCUAGCGUUGUUCGGAUUUACUGGGCGUAAAGCGCACGUAGGCGGACUUUUAAGUCAGGGGUGAAAUCCCGGGGCUCAACCCCGGAACUGCCUUUGAUACUGGG
rnacentral:rRNA from 1 species